AUGAUGAAAACCGCGCCAGAGCAUUGGUGUAGGGCCUACUUUAGGAUUGGCUCUUUCUGUGGCUCAGUUGAGAACAACAUGUGUGUUAAUAAUGCCAUCAUGAGAUCAAGGUUCUACCCUGUAGUAACGGCAAUGGAAAUCAUUAGAAAGAAGGUCACUGUGAGGAUCCAACAAAACAGAGCAAAGUCUCAGAAGUGGCAUGGAACCAUUUAUCCAAAUAUUUUUAAGAAAUUGAAGGUCAACAUUGAGAGAUCCGCUAGGUGUCAAGUGUUGUGGAAUGGAAAGGAUGGGUUUGAAGUACAGGAAGGUGAGCACAGGAGAUACACGGUAAAUCUAGAAAACUGUACAUGUUCAUGUAGAUAUUGGCGGCUUUCUGUCUUGCCUUGUUGUCAUGCAGUGAGUGCAAUCUACACCUUCUCGAGAGAUUUAGAUCUCUACAUUUCACCUUGCUACUCAAUAGCUGAGUACGACAGAAUUUAUGAUCAUGUUCUUCAGCCUGUGAAUGGACCAGAAGAUUGGCUAAUUUAUGAAAAACCUAGACCUCUUCCACCUAAGAAAAGAACUCAGAAAGGUAGGCCCCAGACAAAGAGAAGGCAGGAAGAAGGAGAGAAACCUAGGGACCCAUCAAAAAUGUCACGUGCAGGCACUCAGGUCACAUGUUCAAGUUGUGGAACCCAGGGGCACAACAAAAGAAAAUGUACUAACAACAAUACUGCUGGCAAUAAAGAGCAUGCAAACUUCACAAGAGCAGCUACAAGGAGAAAGGAUAAACAAGCAAGAACAGAGGUGGCCCCUUUCUCUCUCCUUUUACUUGCAUUUUCUUCCUAA
rnacentral:rRNA from 1 species